rnacentral:rRNA from 1 species
ACUCAAAGGAAUUGACGGGGACCCGCACAAGCGGUGGAGCAUGUGGAUUAAUUCGAUACUAACCGAAGAACCUUACCCAGACUUGACAUCGAUGGAAAGGCGCUGAAAGGCGUCCCUCCCUCUCAAGGGGACCAGAAGACACUUGUUGCAUGGCUGUCGUCAGCUCGUGCCGUGAGGUGUACGGUUAAGUCCGCCAACGAGCGCAACCCUCGUCCUGUGUUACCAGCAUGAAAGAUGGGAACUCACAGGAGACCGCCGGUGUAAGCCGGAGGAAGGUGGGGAUGACGUCAAGUCAGCAUGGCAGUUACGUCUGGGGCUUCACACAUGCUACAAUGGGCGCAACAGAGGGCCGCGAUACCGCGAGGUGGAGCUAAUCCCAAAAAUACGCCCCCAGUUCAGAUUGCAGUCUGCAACUCGACUGCAUGAAGGCGGAAUCGCUAGUAAACGCAGGUCAGCUAUACUGCGUUGAAUACGUUCCCGGGUCUUGUACACACCGCCCGU